AUGCAUGUCUAAGUAUAAGCAAUUAUACAGCGAAACUGCGAAUGGCUCAUUAUAUAAGUUAUCGUUUAUUUGAUAGUACCUUACUACUUGGAUAACCGUGGUAAUUCUAGAGCUAAUACAUGCUAAAAAUCCCGACUUCGGAAGGGAUGUAUUUAUUAGAUUAAAAACCAAUGCCCUUUGGGCUCCUUGGUGAUUCAUAAUAACUUUUCGAAUCGCAUGGCCUUGCGCCGGCGAUGGUUCAUUCAAAUUUCUUCCCUAUCAACUUUCGAUGUUUGGGUAUUGGCCAAACAUGGUCGCAACGGGUAACGGAGGGUUAGGGCUCGACCCCGGAGAAGGAGCCUGAGAAACGGCUACUACAUCCAAGGAAGGCAGCAGGCGCGCAAAUUACCCAAUCCCGAUUCGGGGAGGUAGUGACAAUAAAUACUGAUACAGGGCUCUUUUGGGUCUUGUAAUUGGAAUGAGUACAAUUUAAAUCCCUUAACGAGGAACAAUNGGAGGGCAAGUCUGGUGCCAGCAGCCGCGGUAAUUCCAGCUCCAAUAGCGUAUAUUAAAGUUGUUGUGGUUAAAAAGCUCGUAAUUGAACCUUGGGCCUGGCUGGCCGGUCCGCCUCACCGCGUGUACUGGUCCGGCCGGGCCUUUCCCUCUGUGGAACCUCAUGCCCUUCACUGGGUGUGGCGGGGAAACAGGACUUUUACUUUGAAAAAAUUAGAGUGCUCCAGGCAGGCCUAUGCUCGAAUACAUUAGCAUGGAAUAAUAAAAUAGGACGUGUGGUUCUAUUUUGUUGGUUUCUAGGACCGCCGUAAUGAUUAAUAGGGACAGUCGGGGGCAUCAGUAUUCAAUUGUCAGAGGUGAAAUUCUUGGAUUUAUUGAAGACUAACUACUGCGAAAGCAUUUGCCAAGGAUGUUUUCAUUAAUCAGGAACGAAAGUUAGGGGAUCGAAGACGAUCAGAUACCGUCGUAGUCUUAACCAUAAACUAUG
rnacentral:rRNA from 1 species